UGGGGAAUAUUGGACAAUGGAGGAAACUCUGAUCCAGCAAUUCUGUGUGUGUGAAGAAGGUUUUAGGACUGUAACACACUUUUAGUAGGGAAGAAAAAAAUGACGGUACCUACAGAAGAAGCAACGGCUAAAUACGUGCCAGCAGCCGCGGUAAUACGUAUGUUGCGAGCGUUAUCCGGAAUUAUUGGGCUUAAAGGGCAUCUAGGCGGUAAGACAAGUUGAAGGUGAAAACCUGUGGCUCAACCAUAGGCUUGCCUACAAAACUGUUGAACUAGAGUACUGGAAAGGUGGGUGGAACUACACGAGUAGAGGUGAAAUUCGUAGAUAUGUGUAGGAAUGCCGAUGAUGAAGAUAACUCACUGGACAGAAACUGACGCUGAAGUGCGAAAGCUAGGGGAGCAAACAGG
rnacentral:rRNA from 1 species